rnacentral:tRNA from 1 species
GGACCCGUAGCCUAACCUGGAUAGGGCACAAGCUUCCUAAGCUUGCUGUUGUGGGUUCAAAAGCAAGUAACCUAUGCAAGUUAUUCAAGUGGGGCACUCACUUCGUUCGACCCCACGACCUCGAAACAUAGGGUUCUUGUACGAAAAUCCCAUCGGGUCCG